AACGAACGCUGGCGGCAUGCCUAACACAUGCAAGUCGAACGAGAUCUUCGGGUCUAGUGGCGCACGGGUGCGUAACGCGUGGGAAUCUGCCCUUUGGUUCGGAAUAACAGUUGGAAACGACUGCUAAUACUGGAUGAUGACGAAAGUCCAAAGAUUUAUCGCCAGAGGAUGAGCCCGCGUAGGAUUAGCUAGUUGGUGUGGUAAAGGCGCACCAAGGCGACGAUCCUUAGCUGGUUUGAGAGGAUGAUCAGCCACACUGGGACUGAGACACGGGCCAGACUCCUACUGGAGGCAACAGUGGGGAAUAUUGGACAAUGGGCGAAAGCCUGAUCCAGCAAUGCCGCGUGAGUGAUGAAGGCCUUAGGGUUGUAAAGCUCUUUUACCCGGGAUGAUAAUGACAGUACCGGGAGAAUAAGCUCCGGCUAACUCCGUGCCAGCCGCCGCGGUAA
rnacentral:rRNA from 1 species